GGCAAGGUGGCUCAGUGGUAGAGUGCUUGCUUUGCAUGCAUGAGGCCCUGGGUUUGAUUCCUCAGUACCA
rnacentral:tRNA from 1 species